AUUGAACGCUGGCGGCAUGCUUUACACAUGCAAGUCGAACGGCAGCGCGGGUUUCGGCCUGGCGGCGAGUGGCGAACGGGUGAGUAAUACAUCGGAACGUGCCCAGUAGUGGGGGAUAGCUCGGCGAAAGCCGGAUUAAUACCGCAUACGACCUGAGGGUGAAAGCGGGGGAUCUUCGGACCUCGCGCUAUUGGAGCGGCCGAUGGCAGAUUAGCUAGUUGGUGGGGUAAAGGCCUACCAAGGCGACGAUCUGUAGCUGGUCUGAGAGGACGACCAGCCACACUGGGACUGAGACACGGCCCAGACUCCUACGGGAGGCAGCAGUGGGGAAUUUUGGACAAUGGGCGAAAGCCUGAUCCAGCAAUGCCGCGUGUGUGAUGAAGGCCUUCGGGUUGUAAAGCACUUUUGGCGGGAACGAAAAGGACUGUGCCAAUACCACGGUUCGAUGACGGUACCCGCAGAAUAAGCACCGGCUAACUACGCG
rnacentral:rRNA from 1 species